rnacentral:piRNA from 1 species
AUUUUUGGAACUAGGAGUUGGAA